UGCUGCCCAGCUGGAUGAGGUCUCCUCAGUGCGUGCAGGCAGAUAGAGUCUUCAUGGCUGAUCUUGAGUCCCAGAAAUCAUACAUCGUGGGAUGCUUAUUUGUAUUUUAGUGCACGGGGGAAGUAUAGAGGAAGAAUUUUUUAUUGCUGAUCUAUGAACCAGUAUGGAAGCAAGAUGAAAGUAGUCUGAUAUUUCCAUCUGAACUGGAAGGAAAUCCCAUCAAGAAGCAUUUUCUAGUCCUAAUGUAAUGCAGCCUUGCCAGACCUGG
rnacentral:lncRNA from 1 species